CCUACGGGGGGCAGCAGUGGGGAAUUUUGGACAAUGGGCGCAAGCCUGAUCCAGCAAUGCCGCGUGCAGGAUGAAGGCCUUCGGGUUGUAAACUGCUUUUGUACGGAACGAAAAGCCCUCUUCUAAUACAGGAGGGUCAUGACGGUACCGUAAGAAUAAGCACCGGCUAACUACGUGCCAGCAGCCGCGGUAAUACGUAGGGUGCAAGCGUUAAUCGGAAUUACUGGGCGUAAAGCGUGCGCAGGCGGUUUUGUAAGACAGAGGUGAAAUCCCCGGGCUCAACCUGGGAACUGCCUUUGUGACUGCAAGGCUAGAGUACGGCAGAGGGGGAUGGAAUUCCGCGUGUAGCAGUGAAAUGCGUAGAUAUGCGGAGGAACACCGAUGGCGAAGGCAAUCCCCUGGGCCUGUACUGACGCUCAUGCACGAAAGCGUGGGGAGCAAACAGGAUUAGAUACCCGAGUAGUC
rnacentral:rRNA from 1 species